rnacentral:rRNA from 1 species
GAUGAACGCUGGCGGCGUGCCUAAUACAUGCAAGUCGAGCGAACGGACGAUAAGCUUGCUGCUCUGAUGUUAGCGGCGGACGGGUGAGUAACACGUGGAUAACCUACCUAUAAGACUGGGAUAACUUCGGGAAACCGGAGCUAAUACCGUAUAAUCUUUUGAACCGCAUGGUUCAAAAGUGAAAGACGGUCGUGCUGUCACUUAUAGAUGGAUCCGCGCUGCAUUAGCUAGUUGGUAAGGUAACGGCUUACCAAGGCAACGAUGCAUAGCCGACCUGAGAGGGUGAUAGGCCACCCUGGAGCUGAGACACGGUCAAGACGCCUACGGGAGGCAGCAGUAGGGUAUCUUCCGCAAUGGGCGAAAGCCUGGCGGAGCAGCGCCGAGUGAGUGAUGAAGGUCUUCGGAUCGUAAAACUCUGUUAUUAGGGAAGAACAUAUGUGUAAGUAACUGUGCACAUCUUGACGGUACCUAAUCAGAAAGCCACGGCUAACUACGUG